UACUUAAUUAUAAGUCGUCUGG
rnacentral:miRNA from 1 species